rnacentral:rRNA from 1 species
UACGUAGGGCGCAAGCGUUAUCCGGAAUUAUUGGGCGUAAAGAGCUCGUAGGUGGUUUGUCGCGUUGUCCGUGAAAACUCACAACUCAAUUGUGGGCGUGCGGGCGAUACGGGCAGACUGGAGUACUGCAGGGGAGACUGGAAUUCCUGGUGUAGCGGUGGAAUGCGCAGAUAUCAGGAGGAACACCGGUGGCGAAGGCGGGUCUCUGGGCCACUACUGACGCUGAGAAGCGAAAGCAUGGGGAGCGAACAGG